GAUGAACGCUGGCGGCGUGCCUAAUACAUGCAAGUCGAGCGAACAGACGAGGAGCUUGCUCCUCUGCCGUUAGCGGCGGACGGGUGAGUAACACGUGGAUAACCUACCUAUAAGACUGGGAUAACUUCGGGAAACCGGAGCUAAUACCGGAUAAUAUAUUGAACCGCAUGGUUCAAUAGUGAAAGACGGUUUUGCUGUCACUUAUAGAUGGAUCCGCGCCGCAUUAGCUAGUUGGUAAGGUAACGGCUUACCAAGGCAACGAUGCGUAGCCGACCUGAGAGGGUGAUCGGCCACACUGGAACUGAGACACGGUCCAGACUCCUACGGGAGGCAGCAGUAGGGAAUCUUCCGCAAAGGGCGAAAGCCUGACGGAGCAACGCCGCGUGAGUGAUGAAGGUCUUCGGAUCGGAAAACUCUGUUAGUAGGGAAGAACAAAUGUGUAAGUAACUAUGCACGUCUUGACGGUACCUAAUCAGAAAGCCACGGCUAACUACGUG
rnacentral:rRNA from 1 species